AAGAGGAGCUGCAACCCCGCUGCCGUGCGGGAAAGUCCCGACUUGCCUGCCUCUUGCGCAACCAAGUGACUACUUGGGAGCUCCCCGGGGUCACAGCGGGCAGGCAGCGCUACGGAGCCAGGCGAAGAGCGCCUCGCUCUGCCCAUGCCCUCAACCCACGUCGGGAAAGAAGGGCCAGAAAUGCCCAAGUUCCGAGGACGGGGCUUGGGGGACGCUCGAGCCUUUUAACAACCACGGGGGGACGGAACUGGAGAGCGAGUCUCCUGGAGAAGCGGACGGCCGCCCAGGAAAGCUCUGUCGGGCAGGCGCCCUCUCGCUUCGCCGGGAGCGGGAUCCAGCGGCAGCUGCACCGGAGGGGAGGGGAUUGCAAAUGGAUUCACAAAGCUAGAUUUCCAAUACAGCAUUGGUGUGGUAGAUGGAAGUGACAUCCAGAUUCAAACAACCACUGGUAAAGGAAAUUUUGAUCUUCAGAUCAGACUCACAGGAGUUGGACUUCACAUCACAGACUAUUGGCCAUGUGUUCUGGUAGACUGUUGAAUCCCCCUUCUGGCUUCCCUGCUCUGUUUCUGUUUCCCUAACGGCUGGUAGUUCCCUGGUAGUUCUCACAUACCAGGCAAACCUCACACUGUAAUCUGACACCCUGAGCCUGCAGCCUGGACCAGCUGAGAAUUCUCCAAGAAGGCUCAGAAAACUCAAAUUCAUUUUGUGGAGGACCAGGAAAAGUUCACCCAUUAUUAGGUGCACAAGUCCCAAACACAUAUCUGACUUUACAAAAGUGUCAUAAGAUGAAUGAUAUUUGUUGAAUUAUUUGUAUCCACCUUUUUCUUGCCAGCCCUUCUUCCCAUGCACAUUUCUGGUAACUCUUCAUGGGCUCUUGUUUUUCUGUAGAACCAUUCACCCCUUAAAACUCAUAGCUGCGCUCUCAUUCUCAUAUGGCUCAUUACAACUUUGGCAUGUGCAGGAAGAAACACCGUUUCAGUAUAUUUUCCUUUAAAAAUGUUACUAGUUAACAGCCUUUGGCCCAGGUAUUACCAUUUGAUUUUAACUACAUACUGCUUUGUCCACUUACAGGAUGCUGAGUACUACAGAUCUGUAGACCUAAUAUGGUUUAAAAAUGAAAGCUGAGGUUCAAAAAACCCAAUGUUUGUGAAUUACAUAAAUAAAAUAUUGUAUUACUGCUUACUGAAUCUAAUGUGCAAAAUCUAGUCUUUACUAACACACCAUCUGAAAUU